rnacentral:rRNA from 1 species
GCUUUACVCUCACGGGCAGGCCUAACAAUGGCAAGAUCGAGCGGUAGAGAGGUGCUUGCACCUCUUGAGAGCGGCGGACGGGUGAGUAAUGCCUAGGAAUCUGCCUGGUAGUGGGGGAUAACGCUCGGAAACGGACGCUAAUACCGCAUACGUCCUACGGGAGAAAGCAGGGGACCUUCGGGCCUUGCGCUAUCAGAUGAGCCUAGGUCGGAUUAGCUAGUUGGUGAGGUAAUGGCUCACCAAGGCGACGAUCCGUAACUGGUCUGAGAGGAUGAUCAGUCACACUGGAACUGAGACACGGUCCAGACUCCUACGGGAGGCAGCAGUGGGGAAUAUUGGACAAUGGGCGAAAGCCUGAUCCAGCCAUGCCGCGUGUGUGAAGAAGGUCUUCGGAUUGUAAAGCACUUUAAGUUGGGAGGAAGGGCAUUAACCUAAUACGUUAGUGUUUUGACGUUACCGACAGAAUAAGCACCGGCUAACUCUGUGCCAGCAGCCGCGGUAAUACAGAGGGUGCAAGCGUUAAUCGGAAUUACUGGGCGUAAAGCGCGCGUAGGUGGUUCGUUAAGUUGGAUGUAAAUCCCCGGGCUAACCUGGGAACUGAUUCAAACU